rnacentral:rRNA from 1 species
CCAAUAGCGUAUAUUAAAGUUGUUGCAGUUAAAAAGCUCGUAGUUGAAUUUCGGGAUCAAUAUGUCGGUCGUGCCUCCGGUACGUACUGGCGUCAUUGAUUUCUCCCUUCUGAUGAACCACGAUGUCAUUAAUUUGGUGUCAUGGGGAAUCAGGACUGUUACUUUGAAAAAAUUAGAGUGUUUAAAGCAGGCUCACGCUUGAAUACAUUAGCAUGGAAUAAUGUAAUAGGACGUUUGAUUCUAUUUUGUUGGUUUUUAGGACCGACGUAAUGAUUAAUAGGGCUAGUUGAGGGCAAUAGGAUUCAAUUGUCAGAGGUGAAAUUCUUUGAUUUAUUGAAGACUAACUACUGCGAAAGCAUUUGCCAAGGAUGUUUUCAUUAAUCAAGAACGAAAGUUAGGGGAUCGAAGACGAUCAGAUACCGUCGUAGUCUUAACCAUAAACUAUGCCGACUAGGGAUCGGAUGAUGUUAAUUUUUUAAUGACUCAUUCGGCGCCUUACG